rnacentral:rRNA from 1 species
CGAACGGGUGAGUAACGCGUGAGGAACCUGCCUCAAAGAGGGGGACAACAGUUGGAAACGACUGCUAAUACCGCAUAAGCCCACGGGUCGGCAUCGACCAGAGGGAAAAGGAGCAAUCCGCUUUGAGAUGGCCGCGCGUCCGAUUAGCUAGUUGGUGAGGUAAUGGCCCACCAAGGCGACGAUCGGUAGCCGGACUGAGAGGUUGAACGGCCACAUUGGGACUGAGACACGGCCCAG